UUGACACAAAUAACUUAUCUUCAUUUAACGUCAUGUAAUUUUAUUCGCAGAUUUGCGCGUCAAAAAUAAAAGAUAUUUUCAAAAUAGGAACGUUUUUUUCACUUGUGGUAGUACACAAAUUCGUUAUGCGCCGUACGAAAUCGAACUUUUUGCGUUUGUAGCGAUUAUGGAGGUAAGAAAUAACAGAAGGGAGGAUAUUCCCCACUUGGUCUGUCUAAGCAGACAUAAGAGGGGAACAGUAGGCGCCAUAUUGGUCUAUCAAAGCGCGACAAUAAAGUACAAAACGCUAUAUUACUUUGGCCAACCAAUCACAUAGCAUACUUACUCUCACUACCUAAAAAAAGCUUUAUACUCCUUUCUGUUAUUUCUUAUCUUCAUGGUAGCGAUGGAAUUAACAAUUUCUAUGCAAUUUACGUGCGAUUUGCACUGUGCAUCAAUAACAGUCGCAACCUUAACUACUAAUUUAACUGUAGAAUCAUCGACGUAGGUAAAAUUUAUUCAGACUAGUGUUUCAAGCAUUAUUGUUCAUGAAAAUAUGCGUUUUGUUUUUUCAUCAUAACUUUUUCCAACUUCAUUGAAUCGCAAAAGCAUUGAUAGAUUCAUUCAACUCCUCGAUGUUUUCUACACCAAUCGAAAAAAAAGAUUGAAUUUUGAUCAUUUCUUCGGAAGUUAUAGGCAAAUGAAAAUGCGCUGGGUAAAAUUUAUUCAUGUUUAAGGUUUACGUAACAUUAUGAUGUUCAGGGAUCUAAAUAAUCUCUUCAAUAAGAUUUUAUUGAUUGCAGUGUUUUAUAACGGAGUAAUCAGUCACAAGUGUAACAUAUUUCAGAUAUUCAGAAGAAUAUCUUAAUUAUACUUUAGAGAUUUGGCUCGCGUCAUUUCACCGAUUUCUUAGUUGCGUGUUAUUUGCAACGUGACGAUCUCCGAGAGGCCGCGAGAACACGUAGAUCUACUCACAUCCGGGUCUUUUCGCGUUUUCAAUAAAAAAUAACGGAAAACGUCAUGCACAACUUUGUUUAUUGCGAGCCAUACAUCGUGGCUCGUCAUGAUAAGGCCGAGAGUCGCAGAACGAUUCGUGGUGGUCGUUGAUCUCGAAAAAGUCCGCCGGAUGCAAAGUGCAAGGCGACACUCCGUCGACAACGAUUACGGAGUAGGCGCAUCGAUACGAAUCGUUGCUUAAGAAAUAUCGUCGGUUCGUUCAGUUUUCCAGAUUGUCCAGUGAAAUUCUUUCGUGUGCACACGUCUCGUCGCGCGUUCGCGUUCAAGCUUUUGCCGUGGACUUUGCGUGAAGCACGUUCAAAGAUUCGCGGUGCAUGAGUGUGUGUAGAGUGAUCAGAUUGUUGGCGAAUAUAUCUCCAGUACCACGUUUGACAAUUUCAAGUACAAAUCUUAAUUUUUUCCAAUUUUAAGGCUCCUGGCUACUCGCCGCGGAACUCUUGAUUGAUGACAUCAGAAGCGAGGAAAUGUAUGCCCGAAAUUCCUUCAAAGUACAUCGAAAAAUGAAAGAAUAUAUCCAAAAAAUGACACGAUCGAUUAGGUGCAUAUCUAAAAUACUCUGAACGCUGUCCUUCUGCUCCAACAAUCACUAGAUAACUGUAAAAUUAAUGUAGUAUGUAACCUUCCAUUUUAACCUAUAUUCUCUUAUUAUUUUGUCACAUUAAUGCUAUAUUAUUAUUUAUUAUGUAUCAUAAUUAUGGAUCAUUUAAGGUUAGAGUAACUUUCGAUAAUUGUUGAGAUCGAACGUAAAAAUAAAUUAUUUACAGCAAUAAUAAAUUGUUUACAGCAAUACAAGCAACAAAUAAUAAAUCAUAGUCAUAAAAUAAAAUUAUUAAAUUUUAAAUCAGUUUGUUUUAAACUAUAAAAAACAAUUAGAAGCAUUUAUGCGUAAGUUCCAAUUAUGGAUCAGUAAAUGUUUAACCCCGCGGGUUAUGCGAUAUCCAGUUUUACAUCGAUAAUGCCUAUAUUCAUUUUGUUUUAGUUUAUCUAGCGUAAUGGUAUACAAGAUCUUCUAGUACUUUCAUAAAUUUUAUAAAACUACUUUUAAAUAAAACCACUUUUCGGCAUUCGUUGUUUGGAUUUUAUUAAAUAUUAAAAUAUAUGGGGAGAUUUAUUAAUUAUUUAUUAAUUAUUAAUUAUAAUUUAUUUAUUCAUUUUAUUUUAAAUCCUUAUACAUCUUAAUAUUCGAUAAUAUCCGUGCAAGACUACCGAAAACUGGUAGAGUGUCAAUCACUUUUCUCCUCUCUAUUCUAGAUUUUUUCUUAAAUAUUAAGAAUAUUUGUGGGUAUAAAUAAUUUUGGAAUAUAAUUGUAAAAGUAUUAAGGAAUAUGAAAGAAUAUUUUCCGUGUUUUCAUUAUAAUAUGAAUUUUUAAAUACAUUAAGAACUCUAAACAUGAAAUUUAUCCAGAUGAACUUUUUAAACGUUACCGUUCUUAAAAACAUGUGUUUCACAAAACUGAUUUUUUGUUUUUUUAUUAUAAUUUUUUUCAAUUUCACUGAAUCGUAAAGACAUUAAGAUUAGUAUUCCUCAAUGUUUUCUAUACUGAUUGAGAAAAAAGAAUUGAAUUUUGAUUAUUUUUCCGGAAGUUAUGAACAAAUAAGAAUGAGCUGAGAGUAAAAUUUAUUCAUGUUUAAAGUGUAACUUUUUGAGCUGUAAGGUUAACCCUUUCGUAUCUUCGGCUUUCCUAGAAGAUGUAUGUUCUUUAUUGGAACGAUUAUGGAAGUUCUUCUUGAUUUUAAAUUUACUAUUAAAAUUUAAAUUCAAAAUAUAUGGCGAACCCAAAAUAGCAGCCAUGAGAAACUCGAAUGUUGAUAUAUUUAAAAUAUGAGCUUGGAUUAAGCUUCUUUAUUACUAAUUAUAAAUAGAAUGUAAAAAUUGAAAUUUAAGAUGAUAGAUUUCAGAUUGUGACUACAAGAAAGACAUUCAUUUUUGACUACAGAUUAAAGUCUACUAUUCCAUACCGAUACUAUCGAUGGUUGUGGAUGUAUAGUUAUGCAGUUAUAUAACUUCUACAAGCAACAAUAUAUUUGCUAACAAAACGUGAUUCUUUCUUCUAUAAAUUCGCUAAGUGAGAUGAAGAAACUUUGAGGAAACAUUGCUAAUUGCCAGUUAAAAGUUGGAUUUUUUGGAAAGUUUUAUAUAACUGUAUUUAAUCAAAAAUAUUAAAUUUGGAAAUAUAUUAAUUUUUUACAUAUAGGCUUAAUCUUCUUCUAAUAAGCCAAGAUAGAAGUCGAUAAGGAUACGCUAUUUUUUUUAAAGUUAUGAUAUUUCUUUCAUAAGUGGAACAUAUGGAUACUGGAGAUAUGCGAAAGGAUUAAUAAACCAAGUUUGACUCAAAAGUAGAAUUAAAUUCGAAAUUAGGAUUGUAUCUUUUCAUUUCGACGUACUUUGCGGGAAUUCUGGGCCGUUUCCUCGCUUCUGACGUCAUAGAUCGAAAGGUUGCGGCGAAUAGCCAGAGAGGAUCCUUAAAUAUAAUUUAAAUUCACAGAGUUGCGAAGUAAUCAUAAAAAUGCGACAUUUAUUACUUUGCGGAUUAUGUGAAAGAAGGAGUCCCGUAGGAUACAGACGCUCGAUUCUGGACGGUGCGUUUGCGUUCUAGGGGCCGCUUCUUGGUUCGCUACAAAGCGAACAACAUACGCGCGACGGUGACCCAGCGGAUUGACAUCGAUCAGCGCGACUACAGCUGAUCCAUUCCGGAGGGGAGUCGCAGCACGCUCGAUUGUUUAUAAAAGGAAUCGAGAAUGGAGCGAGACGGAGGAAGAGGCAAAAAAGAAAGAAGUGGAUGCGAUGAAAUACGGACCGUAAAUUACGAGAUGAGGAAGACGAUAACGUAUUUAUCCCAAUAGCUGAUGAAGAGAGUUCGCUGGAAGGCGGCGAAUCGUGACGACGGAAAUUUUACGAACAGCGAAGUCUGGGGGUUGACGGAUGAUUCCUUGGCGACUGUUCUUCUUGCACCUGUUUGCUCAUUAUCUUCAUUAUAAUUAUGCGUAUGACUUCCCUCGUGUCGAGUCGACGCAGAAGUCGCCCGAGGAGUGUGCGCGAGGUCGGAAAAUUUCGCGGUGAAUCGCGAGACCAAUAGAGCGUAGUCAAACAACGCUAGAUCUGCUCGGCAAACAGCCGUGCAGGUCGAGGUGGUGCCCGAACGCUGGGAAUUAACAUCGCUGGGAGAGACGUAGUCGGCACGUGGCUGACGACGACGACGACGGUCACAGACACAUCGGCACCUCGUCGUGACGUUCAGCGACGUUGAAACGCGCGCGGAACAAAAGAGGAACACCGACGCGGGACCGUUCUUCCCGGCGCACAGAAGGAGAAGCGCUCGAGGUCGUGUCGCGUCGCGUCGCGGAAAGCCACGAUAUCAGAGAUAACGUUUCGAAACUAAUUAAUUCGUGCGGCAAACAGACUCCCGCGACUCGUCUGUCGCGGGACUACGACAUUGACGAUCUUAGUCGUCGGCUGCCAGUCGCGAAAUACGGCGAUUCACGAACCACUGCUCGUCGACCGUCGCUCAACGCUACCGUCCUGGAGUCUCCAUCGCGAUCUGAAGAUCCUCGGUAUCCUCGCGAGCAAGAUCAGCCUGGGCUCACCAAGAUAGAACUCAAUAAUAACAACGACAACAAUAAUAAUAAUAAUAAUAAUAAUAUUAAAAGCAGUCAGAUAAAGCGUACAUCUUUGACGAUCAGCAACGCGCCGUGACGUCGCAGCUGAUAAGUAGAACAAAUAACCGUCGGGGCUGCUCUGCUCUUCGAAUCUGCAACGUCUGCAACCAGAAGAUAAGUUCGAGGCCGCGCAUCUCCGCAGAUAAAUUGAGAGGCUAUCGUGCGGCGUGCAUCGAGUUGCGGCCUGACAAAUUGGUGGAGACUCGACCUACGCGUCCGCGGUGCGAUCGUGAGGCUGUCUGCUGCUCCGAGACAUCCAGGUGACGAUCGCUAGGUGGUAACGAACGAAUUCGCCUGUGACGUAACAUCACCAGCACGGGACUACGCUGGAGGAGGAUAAAGGAGUCGCGUCUCUCGUUGAUCAGCACUGAGUGGCUUCAAUUGAGCGCCGACCCUCGCGAGUGGUGCCCAUUGGCCAAGCUGUUAAUUCCUUGAGGCACGAUUGGAGCGAAUCACUCGCGGACGUUCCAACAUUCGCAUCGGCACCUCGAGUCAUCGAGCAAUACGCCGGCCAUCGUCUAGCCGAGCGUGCUCGGCUACUUCUGCCGUGUUUCCUCGCCAGGACCUCGCGUGAGCCUGAGGGAACGAAGGAUCGUGCACUUGUGGAUCUUUAGUGCUCGUGCAAAGUGAACACUCGCUGGGACAGGCUAAGCCAACAAGCUGAUCCGCAGAGUAGCACGUGUUAGGAGCAGUAGGGUCGCAGUGAACGAGCCCCAAUAUCACGAGGAAGUGUUGGCCGACACAGGAGAAUCAAGAAGCGCCUCUCCGGUAUCGUGGUGAACCUCCGAGGUCCGCGUGACGAGAAUUCUAAUCGCAUCCGACUCUCCCGGCGACUGAAUGGCCCAAAUCUACUGGCUGCUGCUCUUUGAAAGACUCUGACAGUGUCUCCUCGCGCGAUCACGGCGAGGCCAUAAGAGAAAAGCAGACACGGCAGAUAUCGCGGCUAGGUGGAUACUCAGUCCUUUUGGUCCCGCCUUUAGGGGAGACUUGCCCUAAAGGACUCUCCUAGACCUUCUGCCGCUUUCAGAACAAUUCCGGGGAACGUGGCUGAGAAAGAGAAAGACAAAACGGUACGCGCCACUGACGUCAACUACAACGGGCCUCGUUCUUCCUCUCCGGGAUCAGGUUUUUCUUUCGGACGGCACCAUGGAGCGAAGGAUCCUGAAAAUGUGGUGAUAACGGUUAGGCGAGGGCGCCUCCGAUACCCAAGACACUAUCCAGUGUGUGAGCCAUAGUCGUUAGAGAGCGAUCAAACAAUAAAUCUCGCGACGUCGAGCCUAAUCAGGCUAGACCCGAGCAAGGCCCGUUCAUUCGAUCCCUCGAGUUCUCACGACAAGCGCCACGAGAGGUUCCACUGCGCGCAGAGGGCUUUUCACAUUGCGAAGUGCAUGUCCAUCCUCGGGACGACGAUCCAGUCGAACUGCGGCAUUGCGGGAUCAGUCGUCGCAGCGUAGCCCCACUUAGAUCCAAGUGCGAGGAGAGGCGCGAGUCUCCCACGGAAAGGCGAGGUCUCGAUCGAAUAAUUAAGGUGUCGCGUGGACACCUGUUUACCUCGGAAAUGUUUCCGGUUCUGCGUGACUGACAUCUCCUCUCUUCGAUUCUUCAUCGGAGACGAGAACUCCUUCCCGUUGCUUUUCACGCGAGGAAGUCAGCACAUCAGGGAGAGAAGGCAAAACGCACCGA